CCAAUUUGUGAACAAGUAAAAAUAAAAUCAGGUAAAAAAAGAUUUUUUUUUUCUAUAAUAAUAUAGACUUGCCAUGGGUAUACACAUACUAUUUUGAAACUCUUGAAUCAUUAUCAGUUUUUGAACGUUUAUUCAAAGAUUGUCUAAAGGUUUUUUGUGUAACCAGUUUAUAAUUUUGCAACAGAUCAUUGAAAGAUUUUAAGAGAAAGUACAAAAAACUUGUUCAAAGUGAAAAAGGUUUUGUUCUCUCCGAGUUUUUAACUCUUUAAAAACUAAGAUGUUAUUUUGCUCUCUAACGAGACACCGACCAAUGUGGCAAGGUCAAUUGUUCGCUCAGGCUGUAAAAGAAACUUUACAGAAAACUAAAUAGAAAGGGAAAGCUUUUAAUAAUUUUUUUGCAAUAAGUCCUAAAAGUAUGAUUAGACAAGUAAUCAAGACAUCUGGCUUAACAAGAUCAGUUAAAUAAUUUUCAGUUUACAAAAACACGGCCAAAAAUAAUUACGUUGGAAAUAUUUUGAUUAUGUUUAUUCGCGAAUAGCACGUUUUAUAUUUGUUCACAUUUUAAAUGUGAACAAAUAUAACUUCUAUAUCAUGAAAAAUAAUUUCUAUCGAAAUAAGUCAUUUAUUUCGUUAUUUAAUUUUUAGAUUAAAAUUUUUUUCAAUAUUUAGUCUUUUCGAACUAAUCUAAAAUACUUCGAAAUGUUGAUUCGAAACCUGAUUCAAAUCGCAAAUUGAGACCUGCUUUGAUUCAAGAUUCGAUUCGAAACAAAAAUUCCGAUUCGCAGGGCCCUACAUAAUAAUUUAUACACAAUAAUAGUUGUAAAAAAACUGUUAAAAAAGGUGCCCCAAGAAGUCCUAACGAUCUUGUCACAGAGUACCGCGGAAGUGCAUUUAACCAGAAAGUUCACACCUCCUUUCUUACAGUGACGCUGUAUAUGUCUAAAGCUCGUUUCGAACCUGGAUAUAUAUAUAUAU